GACGAACGCUGGCGGCGUGCCUAAUACAUGCAAGUAGAACGCACAGUUUAUACCGUAGCUUGCUACACCAUAGACUGUGAGUUGCGAACGGGUGAGUAACGCGUAGGUAACCUGCCUGGUAGCGGGGGAUAACUAUUGGAAACGAUAGCUAAUACCGCAUAAUAUUAAUUAUUGCAUGAUAAUUAAUUGAAAGGUGCAAUUGCACCACUACCAGAUGGACCUGCGUUGUAUUAGCUAGUAGGUGAGGUAACGGCUCACCUAGGCGACGAUACAUAGCCGACCUGAGAGGGUGAUCGGCCACACUGGGACUGGGACACGGCCCAGACCCCUAAGGGAGGCAGCAGUAGGGAAUUUUCGGCAAUGGACGAAAGUCUGACCGAGCAACGCCGCGGGAGUGAAGAAGGGUUUCGGAUCGUAAAGAUCUGUUGUAAGAGAAGAAAGGGUGUGAGAGUGGAAAGUUCACACUGUGACGGUAUCUUACCAGAAAGGGACGGCUAACUACGUG
rnacentral:rRNA from 1 species